UGCGCGCCUUGAUCCGGGCGGCGGCUAAGGGAGAGCCGAGCACAGAUGGCGCCGAGGCGGAGGUCUAGUGAUUCCCGCUCCCGCCCCUGGCACACCUGGACAGGUGCCGGGCCUCGCAACCGGCCAGGAGGCAGCUCCAGGCAGCCCGUCUGCCCACUCCUCUUAGCCCGGACAGCUCCUAGCUGGACUUGAUUUUUUGUCUUGCUCAGCCCGUCGAGGACUGGAGGGCAGAGUAGGGGUGGGAGUGGGGGUAGGGGUAGAGGUGGGGGUGGCGGUGAAGGUGGGGAGGAGAAUGGGAGCUUUGGCUGAGAAGUUUCCGCAGGAUGUUCUUACUUAUUUACAAACAUUCUCCAAACUUUCUUUCUUCUUCCUAACGCCCUGGGCAUCCUGUGUUAAGGCCUAGGAGCGCCCACCUCCCACUGGCCACUCUAGUCUGGGCCUAGACCUUACCAUGGUCCUGUCGCCCUGCUCGGCUGGGAAGGGAUGCUAAGAGAGGCAUUUGUUCUGGUUUCCCUGUCGCCGUCGGCCAUCUCCAGUGACCUAGUUUCUUGGUAAGCCCCUAGCUCCCCUCCAGGACCUGGCCCAGCCUCCAGCCUCAGAUGUCCUGAGGUCUCCCAGACUCCGCCGUCCGCCUUGGCGUGUGGGCUGCGGAUAGGCCUCGGACCUGUGUAGGCCUUCCUAGCUGGCCAGUUUCUGUCCGGGUCUCGCUCCCCACACUGUACCAACCCUAGGCCGCCGAGAGGGCUGUUAUGGGCUUGUUUGGAGUCCAGGCCAUUAAGUGUGCGCAAAUCCCUGCAACCCAGCAGGGUGCUCGAGAGCGACUCUGGAAACGCCACGGCCCCCGCCUGCUUAUCUGCCUGUCAAUAAAGGGCGCGUUCGGGCUGCGCGGGAGCGCCGGUGGUGCAGGCGAGGCCCGAACUAGGCCCUUCCGAGCUCCGGGCCAACGCACGAGCCGCUCUCCAUUUGUCCCGGGCAAGGAGGCUGGGAGGGAGGGAGCCGGCUCUGGGGUCGCCGAGGGAGAAGGUGCGGGUUUAGCCGCUGCCUCAGCUGGAUUCUUGGAGAAGCGCUCGACCUCGGAGCACUCUGGAGACCCUACCAGAAAUCUAGUGCUGGGGGCUCCUCUCCGCGCCUGCCACCAGCCUUGGAGGAAGCUGGGCAGGGCCCCGUGUGGUGCCCAGCCUACGAGGUCCCACCUCGCCUCUCCCUGGCAGAGGCAUCCUCUCUAGGCCACACUGGCUCGCAUUGCGGGAAGAAGGGCACCGCGGGCGGCCCGGGGGCAUCAUCGACGACUCGUAGAGCCCCAAAUGCCGAGUGCUACCUGAGGCAGGCUGUAGCUGGGGUGAAAAGGACCGGAAGCGGGAAAGAAACCUCUUUUCUUUCAGGCCUCCCUUCAGCCCGGGGUAGCACAGACUGCAAAUUUCCGACACCUAGGGCAGCUCCAGGCUCUGAUUCUCCACCGCACAGUGAGCGAGCUCGGCAGCCGCCCAGUCUGCGUAGGCUCCCAGGCCAGCCCCGGCCCCAGAGCUUCCCCAUCAGCCAGCAGAGGCUGGGUGGAGAGCCUGGAUGGGCGUGAGAGGCCUUGAAGUAGGGGAAGUAGUGGAGAGAGAGAAAGAUAGAGAAAUCGGCUCUUGGCUUGAACUGUUGUUCUUGUCGAAGGUAUGUUUUCCCCUCCCGGCCUCUGUCGCUUUUCCUCUCUCCCCUUAACUACUUUAUGCAAAUAAAGCCGCUUCCAGACUGGAGGAGCCCCUACCGCUGGAUCUGUGCUACCAGGUGGGUGGGAAUUGAUUUAGUAUUUGCCUUUUUAUUGAGAAUAGGCACUGAGUCUCCCACCAAUUAUAAAAUAAAAAUGGAUUUUCCUCUUAAAAUUUAAUUUUACUCAAUCUGGAAGAUAAUGCAUCCUGUUAAUUUCUACAAUAUUUUUAAAAAAGGAUUCCAGGGUGAGCGCUAACUUAUAAAAUGGUUUAAUAAAGCUUUUCCAUAUACAAAUUAAUAGGAGAGGAAAAAGCCCCUAAAUAAUUGAUUUAAAAUACUGUGUAUUAUUUGAGUGUCAUUUCAAAUAGCUGUACAAGCCAGUAAUCAAUAUAUCAUCUAAGGAAUCUAAUUUACUGGGCAGUACGUGUGGCUCUUGCUCUUCCUUCCCUCUCCACUUCCUCCCCUUUAAACAGAAAACUUGUUUUAACAAGAUUUUUAUUUUAAAUCAAAAUUGAAGGAAAGUUUUGUGAAUUCGAGCGUCAAAAAGGGGACUAUUUAGCAAAGAUAAUAUUUGCCAUCUCUUCACCCCGGUCUCAAGGAUUGCAUAAUGGCAUGAUUAUGUGCAAUUCUGUGUUUUCUCUGCUAUUAAUUUAUUUUCCUGCUCUCAUUUAAAUAACUACUUUACUUUUUUCUCUCUUCUAUUUUGCCACACCAUAAAAAGUUUUCCCGGACCUCUGUGGAAAAUCUCCAAUCCUUCCAGUUAGCUUUGUCACAAACAAACAAACAAACAAAAAACAAACAAACAAACAAAACAAAACAAAAAACUCUACAACAAUCAAUUUGAGAAAACUCUGCUUUUUCUUUCCUUUUAAACAUUUUCAUAUUAAGUCAGUUUGUGGCACCAUGUUUGAUUUCUUUCUCUCCCUUGUCCGGGUAGAGAUGGAGACAUUAGCUGAAUUCCCUGGGGGUGAUUGGAUGCAAUUCACUGAAAGUAGACAGGCACGUCCUGGAUGUUAGAAAUUCACUUUUUCUCAACGUGACAAGGCCGGCUUCGAUCUACAAUUGUAUUUGAAUGGGCAAUGAGCGGAAAGAUCUCUCAUCAUUAAGCUUGCUUCUACUUUAGCAAAAUAAGGAGAGCCUUCAUUUGCACACAAAUGCUCAUAAAACUCGGAUUCCCUGCAACCCUUUAAUAAAAAAGGAUUGCUGCAUAAUUUAAAUUGGAGGCCAGGGGAAGGCUGAGAGAGGGAGAUGAGGGGGUUUCAACUGAGUCCCCUCCCUUCCCCCAAAAGGUCCAUGUGAUCGAGUUGACUUUUUUACUUUAAAUCUUAAAUAAGAUGUGAGUUGUAACAAGAGGAUUGGCACUUACUCCGUGACCCUUAUAAUUGGAUUAAAUAUAGACUGAGACGUACAAAAACACACCAAGAUUGACACCUGCCAACUGGACUUCCUUAUGAUUGAUUGUGAUGCUUCGUGCUGGCAACAAUAAUGAAAUAAAUUGUACGGAUAAAACAGCACAUUUGUCAUUUCCGUGCCAUGAGUGAGGAAGUCAACGAGUUAGGCAAGCUGUUAGCUGACAGGCGCGAGCGGGAGGCAAGCUAAAGAGAUAAAUAAGGAUUCCAGGCAUUGACAGGACAAAUUAUAACUUGUCACAACCUUUUUAAAUUCAGAAGUUUUCAAUUAACAUAUAUAUUGCUGUUACAUAUAAGAUAAGGGGGCACUGACGUAAACACGCGUGGGGUGCAGGGACCCCCCCCCCCAGUGCCAAGGGUUUGGGCAUCCGGGCUUGGGCAUCCAGGCCUCUCUGGCUCUGUUCUCCCAUUCUGGCAAGCCGGAGGGCACCCAGGUUUGCAUGGCCAGCCUGUAGGCCCGGGGCUCCGUAAGGUGGGUGAGAGUGUGAUAGGCUAAGUGCAGCUGCUUCUUUUGCUAGGAGCCCCAGUUCACAGGUCCAGCACCCUUUCUUCAUGGAAGCAAAGCUCCCAGAUCAAGGGAGAGGCUGGGCGAGGCCUGGGCCCAGGUCUGGAAGGACAAGUCCUGCUCUGUCUCCUGGAGUCCUAUGUAAGGAGUAAGAGAUAGAGGGCAGAGGCUCCCCCUUUUGCGCUCCAAUGUCUUGCCCUCAUAGGAAAAUCUGAGCUGCUGGACACAACAUAUCAACAAUGGCCACAUCCUGUGGGCAGGCCUAGGCCACUGAAACCUGGUGUGGCCUGAGGCUGCUCCUGAGCUCUCAACUCCUUCUCUGACUCACCGGCCCAGUGCCGCCAAGGAACCGGUCCUGUGUCCUACCUAGGAAGAGCUGCUUUUCCCUCCUCAGACUUUGUUUCUGGUACAGUUCCCAGGGCUCUUCCUUGACCCAUGGGUAGGAACGAGUUUGCCAGUGGGUCCUUGAUAACCUGAGGCCAUUCACCUAGAGCAAGUGAGAUUUUCAGAGGAGCAAAGCGCUGGAGUCACCCUGUGAGGCUGCAAGUUAGGGGAAGCCAUGAGAUUUCUGGGGAAGUCUAGGUGUUGUGACUGUGACUGGGGACUGCUGUGGGUGAGGUUUGAAGAGUGUGGAGGGACUGUAAACUCUGCAACCAUCUUCACCCCAAAGGAGGCUGGCUUUUUGGUUUUAAAGCUAACCCCUAUCCUAAAGCAGAAUCUAGACUUGCAGGGCCUCUCUGAACUCAGGUCCCAGCCUCCCCGCAAAGUCCAGCUGGAAAGGAAAGUUUGGGCGGGAAGCGAGCGUCCCCGGGUCUGAGGCUGCUGGGUGGAAAGCUGGCCUAGGAGGGCGAGUAGGGAGCAAAAUAGGGCCUGGUCCUUGCGGGGCCGGGGAGCUAGAGGCCGCAGGAAGCUGGGAGGGCCCUUUCCAGGCAGGCAGGGCAGCCUCCUGGCGCGGCCCAAGGCGCGAGGCAGCCGCUGGCUAGGGAGGUCCAGUCUCCUGCAGGCCAGGGAGGGCUUCCUCUGGGUGCAGCCGUCUCCCUCCGCUCCUCAGCUUGGCUACUUGGUGCUCGGACCCCGCAUCCUAGUCCUCGUCCUUGUGGGACAGAGGCCAACCUUGCUGUCGAGGCCCCAAUAUGUCACCACAAACACUCCCAGAACAAGAGCAUCAACCCCAAGCUCCAGAACUUCUGGUCUUAGCCUACUGGAGCCUGCCACCAAAUUAAACACCGCGAAGGCUUUGAAUCCCUGCAAAGACGGAGCCUGGAAGAAAGGGAGGGAGGAAAAGGGAGGAAAAAAAACAAGUUACAUGGAAUUAGUUGGAAGCGGGCGCAUUCCCCAGCGACCGCAGCCAUUAACAUUAUAAUCUCAAACGCCAUUUUUUAUGUAACACUAUUGUUAGUAAAUCAACUCCUCAGGUCCUCAGAGACGCUGACCCCUGGCAAUUCAGUGAAAGUGUAAUUAUCUCCCCGAAUCUUGGACAGAUUUAAGAGAUUACAUUUCAACUAAAUCUAUAUCAAUGCUAAUUCCCUCUCUCCCCCCAGCCUGCAGGUGCUAGGCACGGGAAAUGGCGUCAGGCCCCAGCAGAACGCUUCACAAAGAGGAGAGGGCUAGCUGUGUACAGGGCCAAAAGAAAUGAAGCCCCACAUAAAAUUACACCUUUUUUUUUUUGCUACAAAACCUGGUUCUUAUAUAGCAAAGUUAAACAAAGCAGCUAUGCUAAAUUAGCGUUACAUAAAGGCGAGUUUAAUGCUCGGUUACAGUCAACUGGUGUAUCUCUGAUGGCUAAUUGUCUAUCAAAAUUAAAGAGAAAAGAACAAAUGAUUCGUUAUAAGAAGGUGUUAAAAGCCUCAACAAAAGGACAUUUCACAAAUAUAAUAUCGGCAGCUCCCGGAUUGCCUGCGGGGUUGUUCAGGCCCCGGGCCUGCACAGCUAUGAGAAGUGGGGUGCAGGGUGCUAUUUGCCCAGCAAAAGCUCAUUUCCUCCCAAAUGAGUAUAAUGAAAACCCGAGAGGCGAUAUUAGUGUAAAGAUCGGGAUUAGUCCAAAUAGGAGCCGCGGACUUGGGCUUCAAAGGCGACCCCUACUCUUUUUGCCCAGUCUGGGGGCGGAGGGCGCUCGAAGGGAUACUUCAAGGACACCACAUCCAACUUGUCGCAGCCCCACGUUCAGGCACAGGAGGGAGCGAACAUUGGGCAGAGGGUAAUUUCAACAAAGGACGGCAGGCUCCGGGGAUCCCGGCUUUUCCCUGAGUUCUCUGGGUUGGAAGGAGAGGGUCCGGGCUCUGUCGGAGGAGUGGGUACAGCCCAGCACAUGCUUUUCUGACGCGCAGCGCUGGCCUGGGGAGUGGGUGCAGCUGCUGCAGCCAGCCCCCACCCCGCCCCAGGCUGGGAAGGACGCAGAGUAUAAUACGACGGCCCCCUUCCCCAAGGGGACACUAGAUCCAGAGCUCCAGGCAUAUUUGUUGUUCAAAGUUAAUUAUACCUGAAAGCAACCAAAAUGCGCACGCCAGGCCCACGGAGGCCGAUUGCCGACCAGCGUAGCCGGCCCGCAGCGCCAGAGAAGCCGCUCACUCCGGCGGAGUCUCUGCAAGAGAAUCUGAGGCUGGGGAAUAAAAGCCGAAACUAAAUCAGGCAGCAAGAGUAACAAACCAUCUGGAAAAUGGACCCACGGAGCCGCAAGAAUGUACUUUUUUUUUUUAUCCUUGACAACUUGUGUCCUAAAGAAAGUGUAUUGAAGAUAAUUGAAAUGAUUACAAUUCAUUGCUGCCUGACUUUGAAUAUGAACAGUCACAUAAUGACAUCCCCGCCACACAACAACAGUUUAAUUUCCAUUAUCCGACUUCGGGAUCCUAGCGCCAGCCGCCGGGGCAACGUGGCGCUAAUGCAGAAAUCUUGGCUCCUGCCUGCAUUAUUCAUUUCGGGGACGUGGGGAUGGGAUAGGAGUGGAGAGUGGGUUUCUUCCCCUCCCCCGAACUUAUUCUGAAAAUCCCGGGGACCAAUGGACACCGAGGAACCGAAAGCCGAGAGAAUAGCUGUCAAGGGGCCACUUUGACCGACGGGGCUGCGGUCGACGGCGCUCCCCGGCUGUCUUUUUGUCCCAGGGGUUCCCAGGCCCGCAGGGCUAGGAUCCCCCAGCUCCCACCCUAGUCAGUCCCAGUCAGGGAGGACCUAGGCCAGGGCCUCCUCCCAAGGCUGUCAUCUGGCGGGGCAAACGCUCUUCUCUCAUUCCUUCGUCUCCCUUCCAGCCCUCGCAUCCUUUCCUUCUUUCUGCUUCAGAGCUCUCAGGCUCGCGUGCAGGGCGGGAUGGGCCCGGAUCGGGGGCCCCUUCGCAGAUUUGAAAGUUGCCUCGGCCUUGAUCUUCUCCCAGCCUCCCUGCUGGGGACUCACCCCCACAUCCCGCUACCCCCCGGGGAAAAGCGAAGAAAGCCAGAGUCUCUUUGCACGGCGGGGACGCUGGCGCUCACCUCUGGGCGCGGCCUCGGUGGAGCCUCAGGGCCAGGGCGGGGUGUGGCGGGGUGUGGCCCGGUGGGGUGAGGGAGGGACCCGGGGUGCAAGCCAGGCCAAGGCCUCCUCAGUGCGCAGGCGCCGUUCGGGCCCGCCGCCCCCUCCCAAGGCGUGGGGUCCCGGGGACAGACCCCGAGCCCCUCUCUGCGCAACUACCGCCUCUAAAAAAAAGACCAUCUGGUAAUUGUCUUUCUUUAGAUCUUCCCUUAAUUAUGCUUUUAAUUAAAGAUGGUUCAAGGCACCGGACCACAUGAAGGGCAGUAAUUACAAAUUACAUUACAAACCCGACAGACGUAGCAGGAUCUGCUGGGAAAAAGGUACCGGAAUAAAAAUUUGACUAAAGUUUGGGAUAAAUUAAUCGGUGGCUUGAAGAACAGUAGCACAUUUCUGAUUAUGUAGGCUCCAGCCAGGAUUUAAGUUUUGUGUCAUGAUUGUUUUCAUAUUUCUUUGACAUCUAUUGAUUUGGAGGCAGCUGCAAGCCUUUGUCACAGGAGAGAAGAGCAGUCACAAUAUAUUAGCUUGAUGGCAUAACUCGAACCGGAGAAGCGAGGGGAGCCUGAGUGACUGGGGCGCACAUGACCCCCCUCCUGGGGCCUUUGGGCUCAACCCUUACUUUUAACUUGUUCUAACAGGAAUAAUGGAGUAGUACUACUAAUGCAUGGUCAGAAGGGGCUUUUCUGUCUAGAACGCAGGCGGCGGGAGUUGCACCGCCACAGCCCGGGAGACCAAAGAGUCUCCACUCCCCGCUCCCGGCGCCUCCUCGCCGACCGGAGCCCCGAGCCCAGUGAGCCCAGCCGGUCCCACGUCGAGAGGCGCUGGGUUGGGAGAAGUUCUGCUGGUCGUGGGCUCGGCCCCCAGGCGCCAGGCCGAGUGCCCACCUCGGCUUCUUUAGGGGGCCUACAGCGGGCAGCCGAGCGGCUGGCGGACCCGGAGCUUGGGAGGCGACCGCCAGGCUGGUGCCCGGCCUGACCCGGCGUUCGCGGCCGCCCGCUCGCCCGCCGCGGGCCGGGAGCGUACAGGAGUGUGACGCAGAUUGUGAAAACAGAAGGGAGGGAGUUGGGUCAUUUCCUUCGCUAAUCAUCGCCCCCUCCUGCUCCUCCUCCCCACCCCCAUCCCAUCCUCGCCGCCACCCAGCCUCGAACUCUCUUCCUUGCCAGAGUCUGCCUCACUUUGAGCCAGUGGCUGCACUUUAUGGAGAAAAUAUAUGUGCCCAUCACUCACCCAUCUAUUUGCAGCGUCCAUGGAGCGCCUCGGGGAACACGCAUGGACAAUUAAACACACCCACUUACGGCGGGAUGAUGAGGCUUUCUGUUAACCACAUGUGUUCAGAAAUGGAUACAGCCCUAAUUUUGACACGGAAUGCAGCUAAUGCACCUUGCUAUAGAUGUACGUCCGUUGGAAAAGUGUGUGAUGGGCACCUGAUCUACACCAAGAGAACAGGGCUGUCUGCAGAAGACCCAGCGGCCUGACACCUUUUCUUGUUGCCGGGGAAGGAAAGUUUUUCUUUUGAUUUGUCCUCUCACGAUUUUUCCCUUUUCCUUUGCAUUACAGUUUCAGAGAGGAAUGUAAAUAUUUUGACUAGACCUCUGCAGGGGCCUUUUAAACACCAGGCACAAUCAUCUGUGGAAUACUGUAGUUCAUACUUUCAAAACUUGGGUGUUAAAGAGUCUGUCUUGCUGAGGAAACCCAUAGAACUAGUGGCGACCUUUCAACUCCCUAUUUGUGUGAUGAAAUGAAGUAUGCCCUAGUGAUUGUCGAAUUUUAAGGACUUGUUCUGUCACUGCUACUUUCCGAUCGUUUGCAGGGAAGAAAAAUCAAUCAAACAGACCUUUGAUGGGGUUGUGGCAAGGUCACAUUUCACUGUGCUCCAGGCUUACCUCUUCUUAACGCCCCUCCCUGCUGUGGAGCGUGUGCAGGUAGUAUGCAAAACUCUAGAAAUAAUAUUUGAAAAAAUUAACACCUUGUUUAUCUCUUCUGUGUAUUUGAUAUAGGGGUUUCUUUCUUUUCCUGUUUUGGUGUUUAAUACAAGGCUGAUAUAUUGGAACAGAAUGCAGACUUCAAAGAAACUAAAAUUAGGAGGCAAAUAGCGUCAAGGUUUCCUCGGUUUCUGUAUGUAGUACAAAUAGUAUAGCGUCUUUUCAUCCAAAAAGAAGCAAAAAUUGCCAGGAGGCAUAAAGCAUCUCUGAAUAUCCGUUUUUUUUAAAGAAACAAACAUUUCCCAAAUAUUGAUGUACGCAUGGUUUUAUAGUCUGAAAAUAUUUCUAGGCACAAAUAUGGCAUACAAACAUUCGUUUCAACUCUGUCGUUGUUGUUAAAAUGACAGUAAAUUAUAGUUUAUUUUAAGAUACCUCCCUGUUAAUGUCAGUUGAGGUUAUUUUAGGGCCUGGAUGCUCUAGGAAGACCACCUAAAAUGUGUUUAUUUCUCUGCCCAAUUCACCUAUAGUGUAAGGAGCAUUUUAUUUUAUUUUAUUUUAUUUUAUUUUAUUUUAUUAUACUUUAAGUUUUAGGGUACAUGUGCACAAUGUGCAGGUUUGUUACAUGUGUAUACUUGUGCCAUGUUGGUGUGAUGCACCCAUUAACUCGUCAUUUAGCAUUAGGUAUAUCUCCUAAUGCUAUCCCUCCCCUCCCCCCAUCCCACAACAGUCCCCAGAGUGUCAUGUAAGGAGCAUUUUAAAUAAAAUAUUUUGGGCAUCCUUAAGUCCUUUUUUAAAAAUCCAACAUUCUACAAUUGUGACAAAUAGGCUGAAAAAUUUUGUUUUGUUUAUACCAAAUUCAUUUUAAUAAAGCAUUUGCUGAGAUUUUAAUACAACAAAUGCCAACAAAAUGCAUCAGAGUAGAAAAAAGAAAAUAUUUUCAGAAUUGCCUAUAAUAUUGCUUGUGAUCCUAAAUUUUUUGAUGCAAGGAACUUGAAUUUUUCAGCUAAUAUUAUUCUGUUUUCUUAUUCUGUGUUUCUAUUAGAACACUCACCUAUGCUCUGCUUCCCUUGCUGUCUUCCCAUAGCUUAUGUGUGCACUAUGAAUUUCAAUAAAUAUAAAUUACUGCUUAAAAGAGUAAAGAAUGGCUACUUUAUGACUCACUGUUCUCUCCUUACAAUCUGCUCAAAAAUCUUUUUUACAAAUCCCAUUGUAGCUACUUCCCCUCAAUUCCACGAUGAAAGUGAAUGGCAAAUGCCAUUCAAUUUAGAGGAACUCAAGCACAGAGAAUAUAAAGAUGUUGUUCAAAGCCUCCCUCAAAUCUAUCUGUAGGCUUACAAACAAAAUGAGACUGGAGGCAACAUCAGUACACAUCUCCGACUCCAUAUGAGGUUACUUGAAGCUUUGGGGUUCACUCUGGAAACAGAAGACAUGCAUCAAGGUAUGUGUUCCUUAGAGACUGACAAGCAACAGUGGACCUCAGGAGAAAUAAAACAACUCAUGCUCUCAACUGCCUCUGAUUUGCAGACAAGGAAGAGUUUUCUCUAAUUUUUUUUUUUUUUUUUUUUUUUUGCCUGCAUUACUUUUUCUGUGCUUGGUGGCUAAACCAGAGAGCAGUCUGCAACAUUUUGCUUUUGGGGAUUUCCUGUGGCUUUGCCACAUUCCCUGGAGAAACUCAUAAAGUCCUGGAGUCUAUGGAGGGAUUACAGAGAGCCACAAACAUCAUUCUUCCUCUAAUCCAUCUGGGGCAGAUACAGUAUUGAUAACAACCUUUCUGUUACUUGACAGUUUCAGACCAUUCAGAUGAGAACAAAUAAUAGGAAUUUGGUAGUGGAGGUGGGGAAAAUAGAGGCAAUUGGUAUAGUCUUCUGAGUUGAAAGGACUGGUUUCCAUUCCAAAAUCGUGGAAACAAGUACAAAAUUAAACACUUUCCAUUCAAUUCUUUGGAAGUGAUUUCUUCUGUCUUUGGUUAUUGUAGUGCAUUUGUGUUGGGGAAUUGAUGCAUUUAUUUACUUUGUCCCUAAGACAAGACAGUGCUCAGUUGCUUGCAUUUUGUAGCUUCAGUUUGUUUGGCUCUCCCAGCUUGAACCUACUAUGUUAGGUAAUAAGGAAGCCCAUUUGCAUUAGAUAAUAAGAAUCAGGGACAAGGCAGACACAAUGCUGAUUAAACAAGGGCUCAUAUCCCAUUUUGAGAGCUCCCUGAUAACCAGCGCCACAAUCACAUUGGUAGGUCAAGCAAAAAUCUGAAGAUAAAAUCAAUGUCAGUUUUCUGUCUUGGUGACAGACAGCGACCCACCAGAAUUAUAUCCAGUAAAUCCUGUUAUCAAGUUCCUCACUGUCGUUGAUGAAUUCACUUAUGCUAUGGGUCAGAGAUUAUGCUGUGGCCACCACCUAUGUGAUGAUGUCUACGGCAUCCCUCACUUUGACACAGACUUACACAGAACAAUACGCUAACAAUUAUAGCUGUCCAACUUCCUGGUCUGCUUUGUAAGGUAAGGGCAGUGAAGACACUGGGAAUGUUCAAGUGGAAUCUGGGGUGUGGGGAAGACCAAACCUGCAUGAAGGAGUGGUUAGGGAAAUUAACUUACUUCCCAAACUGUAUCAGGGCCAGAAUCAUCCCAGAAACAUUUAUUUUAUCUAUUGGUUAUUUAUUAAAUAAUUUAAAUAUGAUUACUUGUCAAAAUGAAAGUACAUUCAUGUGGUUCAAAAUUCUGAAGUUCAGAAAAUAUUUUGUGAAAAUUCUUCAUAUCCAGUCAUACAGCCACCCCCUUCUUACCUAUUGAAAGCAACCAACACUAUCAGUAUCUUAUGUAUAGGGGAGCUUUAAAAAUAUGGAAUUCCAAGGCCUACUUAAUGAGACUCUUUGGAGACAGAGGCUUUGCUAUUGGUGUUUAAAAAAAAUCUUUCCAGAUAAGUUUGUUGAUAUGUGGGCACUUAAGUGAUUUUUAGACUUCUUUCAAACACUGAGAUUUUAUGGAAAUAUAUAAUGUAAUACUACUCGUCCCCUACGUUCCUACAAUGUGUGUAAAGUAUUUUCAAAACUAGUAUAUAUUUUUUUCUUUUUGCAACCCUGUAAAAUAGGUAUUAUUUUCUGCCCCCUUCCCAUUUUUCAGAGAAUGGAAACUUCUGAAAAACUCUCAGAAGUUUGGACAACUUGACGGAGGUAACUCAGCUAGUAAACAGCAGGGUCAGGUAGCAUCAUUCAAGGCCAUGCUAGGACCUAAGUGCUUUUACUUUGAGCUUUACCCCACAUCACAUCAAAUGAUAACAUGACCCGUACUUCAACAUAAUUAUUUGCUAUAAACUGUUUUAAAAUAAUUUUGAUAAAUUUGAAGUUCAUUAGGAAUGAAUUAUUCAUUUCAUUUUUAUGAUUAAACUUUACUACAUUUAUACAUGACAUGUAAGUUGAGUUGCAGCUGGUGUGUUGACAUGAUGUCAACGCUUUUAGUCAUGUAAACAUUUAUCAAUGCUGACUCUGUGUGUGUAUGUGUGUGAGACAGGGUGUUACUGUGUCGCCCAGGCUGUAGUGCAGUGGCUGUAAUCUUGGCUUACUGCAACCUCCACUUCAAACGACCCUCCUACCUCAGCCUCCUGAGUAGCUAGGACUACAGGCAUGCACCACCAUGCCCGGCUAAUUUUUAAAUUUUUUUUUGUAGAGAUAGGGUUUCGCCAUAUUGCCCAGGCUGAUCUUGAAUUUCUGGGCUCAAGCGAUCUGCCCACCUUGGCCUCCUAAAGUGCUGGGAUUACAGGAGUGAACGCUGCACCUGGCCGAUGCUGACUUUAAAGUUGCUGCCAUUUUUUUUUUUUUCAUAUUUUGGAGCUACUAAUUUUGGGGAUAAGGGCAAGAAUUCAAAUAUCUUUUCAAGCUUUUGAGGAGCUUGUAGGUUUUAGGUUCUAUACUUGAGGUGCUUGUUUUAGUUAGGUUAAGGCUAAAUUUCUCUAACAAAUAGCCCCAGAAAAAAUUCAGUGGAUUAAAGAGAAUAAGAGUUUAUUUUCCUUUCAUCUAACAGUCUGAGGUGUAUGUUUCAGGGUAGCAGGCAGCUUGCUUUAUGUAGUUUUCCAGCCAUCUAGGAUUCUCUAUCCCUUAGGCUAUUGCCUUUAUCUGCAUGAACCAUAGAUUCCUCCAGGUUCUGGUUCAUAAGUGGAGAAAGUGCAGGAGGUGCGUCCAUGGUUUUUAGGUCCAUGGUCUACCUUGAAACUGGCACACAUUCCUUCUGCUCACAUUCCUUUGUUCAGAACUUAGUCACAUGUCCACAGCAAACUACAAGUAGAAUUGGUCAACCCAUAUUGACCCAAAUGCGGUGGUGACCCACAUGUAGUGAAACAACCAGCAGCAUUCACAACAAUGCAUAAUGCAGCUAGGAGACUGUUACAAUAAUCCAGGUAGAAGCUGAUGAUGGUAGCAGUGGUAUUUGUGGGAGAUAACUGAAUUCUGGAUAUAUUUUAAAGAAUAUCCUAAUAGAUUGGAUAAGGCUGUGAGUCAAAGAAGAGUCAAGGAUGAUGUCCAGGUUUUGGCCUGAGAAACUAGAAGAACAGAUUUCUCAUUUAUAGAGGUGAGGAAGACUGAGGAGGAAAUUUCUGUAGAAAGGCAAAGAAUUUGGUGUUGGAUAUAUUGGGUGUGAGAUGCCUAUUAGAAAUCCAAGUAAAAAUGUCAUGUAAGAGUUGAGCAUAUGAGUCUGGAGUUUUAAAACUAAACACUGAAUAAAGUCAACAAGGAAAUCAAUAUAGGCAGAGAAGAAGCCUAAGGAUCAAGCUUUGGGACAUGUUGAUGUUUAGAGGUCUGGAAGAUGAAGAGAAAUUGAGGGGAGUCCCUAGAAAGGCAGGAGGAUAACCAGGAAAGGCUGGCACACAGGAGUCCAAUUGGAGAAAGCAUUUUAGGAAGCGGAACAUGAUCAACCUUUAAACAACUAUAGUGUUAAAUACUGUAAAUAGGUCAUGUUGGAUGAGAACUGAGAAUUGACUGUUGGAUUUAUCAAUAUGUCAUGGAUUUUUGGGGAAAGUGACUAGUAGGAAUAGAAUAUUGGAAUAAAAACAUAAUGAAAGGAGAGAAAUUUGAGGCAGCACAAGUACCUAUAACUAUUUCAGUGAUUUUUGUUGCAAAGGGGUAAGCAGAAAAAUGGGGCAGUAGUUAGAGAUCAAGGUUUUUUAAAGGUUGCAUGAAAAAAUCUUCAUGUUUGGAUUCUAUUGGGAAAUCAUUCACUAGAGAAGGUAAAAUUAAUGAUGCAAGGAAGGAGUGGAGAAUUGUCUUAUCAGUGUCCAUGAGAAGGCAAGAAGAAAUAGGACCUAGUUCACAAAUGGAGGUGUUGGUCUACUUGCAAGCAUGGAUGAUCCAUUCACAAUAAUGGGACAAAGCAGAGUGAACAGCUCAGAUACAGUGUAGCAGGAUGUGGUGAAGGUGCUUGUUCUUUUCUGAUUUUCUCAAUAAAAUUGUAAGUCAGGUCAUUAUUUCAGAAGAUGGAGAAGGAGACACUGUGGGUUUGAGGUGAAGAGGGAAAUUGGGAAACUCAGCUAGACAAUGGGUGUGUGAAAUAACAGGAGACUUGUACAAGGUUUUUGGGCAUCUCUGGGGCCUAGUCGGCCUCACUGGUGUAUACUUUUCUCUAGGCACAGCUCAGGUACAGAGUAGGCUGAGAGUUGGAUUUGGUUAGGAUUGGGCUGUUGCAAGGAGAGACAGUAUGAUGAAGGGAGAGAAAGAGGCAAGGGAGUUACUUGUGUGUGCAAACGGGUUACUCCGUGGAAUCUAAACUGGGUAGAAAAGGACGUGAAAACCUGAGGGGAUAAAGACCAGUGGAGAAGUGAUAGGAUUAAAGGAUUUUAGAUUUAAGUGGGUCAAUGAGUUGUUGAAGUGAUGGAGUGAGCAGGAAAGAUAGUAAAUGAUAGUUGGAGAGUGAAAUGGAGAUGACCGAGGGGUGAAAUUAAUGUCAAAGUAUAGCAUAAGACCAUGGGAGUGGGUGGUAGCUGGAGCAACAGAGGUCAAGGAACUGAAAAGCAAGGGCACUGGAAGGAUCAUAGAUAUUGAAAUUCUGAAGAAUUAGGGCAGGGGCCAUGCUGGAAGGAGGGAUGGUGAGAUAAGAGCUAAAGCCUUGAAGAAUGAGUGGGAAAGACCUGGGAGCCUAUAGACUUCAGCUACCAGUGUGGGAUAGCUGGAUAGCCACCAAUGUGGGAUAGUCUGAUGGCAUGAGAGUCAAAGCUGGAAGAUUUUAGGGAGGAGGAAGAAACAGGUAUGAAAGUGCCAGAGAAGGCAGGCCCUGUGGUUUGAGUGACAUGGAGAGAAGCUACCACCUGAGGGGGCUGCAGAGGAACAGCCCAGUGUCAGGAAGAGAAAGUGAAGGUCCCUCAAAGAAGAGGAUAGAGGUGAUUGUGCUAGGACAGACUCGAGGGCACACUGGAGGGAUAUAGGGACAGAUUAGAGCACUUAUGGAAUUCUAUGGAAUCUUGAACCUUCCAGGUCCUGGUUCAUCUAUGAAUGUUGAUAUCUUAUGACUUCAAAUUUACUCCCUCCCUCUGGGCUUCUCUCUCUUGCUUUUAUAGGACAGUCCUUUCUGGUCAUUCAAAUCAUUUAUCUGUCCUCUCUGCCAUCCCUCUCAUGUACCUUUCAGGUCUUCCACUUAUUCUAUUCCCUCCCUCCCUCCCUCCCUCCCUACUUCCUUCCCUACCUCCUUCCCUCCCUUCUUCCCUCCCUCCUUCUCUCUCUCUCUCUCUCACACACACACACAUACACACACACACUCACAUCUAUCUCCGUGAACAGAACUUUGGCAUAAACUUCUGAGCGUACGGAAAUAGAUUUGGCUCCUUACAUUAAUAAAUAAUAGUAUGCAUAAUGAGGAAAACAUUUAAAUCUAAACAAUACAGAACUUAGUAAGGUAGGAAGUCAGUUUCCCCUACUUUCAUUUCAGUCCUAAACACAUCCUUUUUUAAGCAGAAUCCAUAUAAUGUUUAUUAUAUAACCUUCCAAAUUAUUUUUAACGCUAGACAUUUACGUACACACACUUGUAUAUACUCAUUAAUGGAAUAAAGGUUCUGGUUUUUUUUCCGGCGGAGGGUCAUUUAACAUAGAUUAUCUUUGCAAGUCACUGUCAUAUUAUUUUGUUUUUAGCGGACACACAUUAUGCCAUUGUGUGAAUAAAACAUUCUGUAGUGAUGGACAUUUAGGUUGUUUGGAACUUUUUCUAUUAUAAAUAAUACUGUAGUAUACUUCCCUGUACAUAUCCUUGUGCUAAAAAUUUGGAAGCUAGACUCCUACAACUAAAGUUGCUGAAUGUUACACUGAAUGUACAUUUUAAAAUUUGGCUGACACUGCCAAAUUGUCACCCUCCCCAAAUCAUGUACCAAUUUAUACUCCCACUAGCAGUUUAUGAGUGUGCUUCUUUCCCCAUACCCUACCCAGUAAUUUGCCUCCUUCUGGAGGUUUGUAAAGAAGCAAUCUGUCAGACAGUGGAAGAGGCAAAUGAGAAUCUGUGUACACUGAAUACACCUGACACCUUGUUGAAUCCCAGGGUUGGUUCUGCUGAUCUGGCUGACUAAGCAGGGGGUCCCCCUUCUCCCCCUCUCUCUGGGCUCCAUGGGGAUCCCAGCUGAGGAACGGUUGAUGAGGGGCACUGGGGUGCUCGCCUUCACUUUGAUUUAAAGUCUGCUUCUCAGUCCACUGCUACUCGGGGACAACAUGCUCUGAUGGCUGAUAAUAUGCUCUAUUUGUAUUCUAGCUGGAUAUAGGUAUUAGAGCCAAGUGUUUAUUCAUUUCCAUCAGGGGAAGUCUUCAGGCACCGGGUGCUCACCUUGAUCUUUAAUUUUAAUCACAAAAUCAAAGCCCUGCUGUCAUUUCAAAGGCUCACUCAGACACUAAACUUUAGAAGGUCUAUUAGUCCUCAUCCCAAAUGGGUAGGAGAGGUGGAUGCUUCCAUUACAGGGCUCCAUCCCCAUUGCCUUUUCCCCUGAUUUAAACUAAGGUGCAAAGGAAGAGAAAGACUGCUCACUGAAGCUCACAACCUUUUAAAGUACCAAUAAUUUGCAUGAACAAUGAUGCCCACUUUUGUUUUUAAGACCACUUAAUAGACUUCAUUUCUUAAACCAAAAUCACUGGUUAAUCUUUCCAGACUGAGUCCUCAGAAGGGAACUGCUACAAAUUUAUUCAGAGGAUUUCAAGCAGUAAAAAUAAUGUGCAGUUCUUUUUAAUGGGUAAUAAAAUUCCCCAAGAAAAAUGAAUCUUUCUAGGCAUAGAGUAGAUGCUUUUCAAAGAAGACUCACUAUCUCCUUUUUAAAAGAGAAGAGCCUUUUUGUUUUUGUAAAAUCAACACAUUUAAAGUUUAAAAUUCAAAUGAUGCAGAAAAAUAUAAUGAAGAUAGUUUAAAAACACGUGAAAUUCUACAACCCAGAAAAAAUCACAUUACCAUUUUUGCCAAAACACAUUUCUAUAAACACUCUAUAGAUUUAUACAUAUAUGUGGACCAUACUCUUUUGUAAAUUGCUUUUUAUUUCACUCAAGAAUGUGCAAUAUCCAUCUCCUCAUAUAUGUUACUUUAAUAUUGAUAAACAUUUUAUUGUAUAGAUGCCUCAUCAUUUACUUAGCUAGUGUUCUAAUGAUGGACAGUUAGGAUCCUCCUAAUAUAUUUCUGCAAUUGCAAAUGAUAUUGCUAUGAAGAACCUUAGAGCUAACUUCGCACAUGUCUUUAUAUACUUCCAUGUAAUACUUUCCAGAAGUAAAAUUAAUGGCAGGUAAGAAUUCUACCACUGAACCACCCAUGCUAGAAAGUAAAAUGAAUGGAUUUAGAACAUUUGUACUUUUUAAAGUACUUUAGAAAGGUAUUGAAUUGUAAUUUCACAGCAAAUUAUGAGACUGCUAUUUCCCCAUACGGUAGCAGAUAUGAAAUAAUACAAUUGAUAUUGAUU
rnacentral:lncRNA from 1 species